rnacentral:rRNA from 1 species
UACGGAGGAUGCAAGCGUUACCCGGAUUUAUUGGGUUUAAAGGGUGCGUAGGUGGAGCUUUAAUCGUGAGGUGAAAUGCCACGGCUCAACCGUGGAACUGCCUCGCGAACUGGAGUUCUCGAAUGCCCAUGCCGUGGGAGGAAUGUGUGGUGUAGCGGUGAAAUGCAUAGAGAUCACACAGAACACCGAUUGCGAAGGCAUCUCACGAAGGGGUGAUUGACGCUGAGGCACGAAAGCGUGGGGAUCAAAC